GGAUUUUCUUCAAUGAAGAGGAGAAAGAAACAAUAUUUCAGAUUAAAAGCCUAGCAGCUCUGGAAAAAAUCAUUGACAACCUUCGAAGAACUUUAGGCAAAACUCUCAAGCAAAAAAUAAAGAAGCACAAAUAUUUGUUCAGAAAAACCAAACAGCUCAAGCAGAAGUUGGGCCUGAACUGA